rnacentral:lncRNA from 1 species
GGUUUGAUCUGACGGCCCACAUUCACUUGAAGGGACUAUAAAACCAAGGCCUCUCCCCCUGGAGGAGAGAGGAGAAGAGAGGAAAUCAUUAUGCAGAGGUAGCCAUCAAAGUUAGGGUUUAGAGCUUCUCUCCCACAGAGAAUUAGAAUUAGCUACUCCCUAAUCCUUCAAGUUUAGAGGUUUGAAUAGAUAGCAAUUAGAGAAGUAGAGCACUACGCUCUAGAUUCGGAUCUUCAGUAAAAAAGAUUGGUAUUAUUCAUAUCUUUCUCGAAUUCUU